GUGGGAAGCGCACGGCCGCAAAUCUGACUCCGCCGUCCACUGUUCCGGACGGCUUGGGAUUGCGGAAGUGC
rnacentral:ncRNA from 1 species